rnacentral:SRP_RNA from 14 species
UGAGGUAGACGCUGUGGUUCCUCUCCACCGGCAGCGGAGUGCCGUCCUCCGAGACGCGGUCGACCAUGAGGCCGAAGAGCAGCGUCAGCCCCAUGCCCUCGAGGUACGCCGCGAGGCGCGGCAGGGAGCCCGUCGGCCAGCAGGCGCCGGA